rnacentral:ncRNA from 1 species
AUAAAAACUGUGAAGAGGAAGAGUACAUAUAUUAUUGAAACGCAGAGAGAGAAUGGUUGCUGUAAAUUCUCAUGAAGUAUAUAUAGAAUGUAGCCUUGGAGUUUUUAAUCGAAAUCUUUGGAGAGUAGAAUUAAACGGACAGUCUACCGUUAAAGAGACAAUAAUAUCGGAUUUUUCCUGUAUUAUAUUAAUGAGUGUGUAUUUAAUAAUACAAAUUUAGGUGGUAUCGCGGUGAGUAUCUCUUCGUCCUAUAU